GUAGUGUAGGCUUCUUAGCAGGACAGCUAGCCACGUGGAAGCUGCUAUAUCACCUCUACGUAUAUGUUCUAGGAGAGACAGAGUGAAAGCAGAAACUUUAAAGUGUGCAUGCAUGCCUGUAUGUGUUUGUUGCUGGAAAUCAAACUUAGGGCCUCAUGCUUCCAUGCUAAGCACAUGCUCUGUCACUAAGCUAUAUCAUUCCAGAAGCCAUACUUUUUAAAUUGUUUGGUAAUUUCGUACAUGCAUAUGAUGUUUUGAUUAAAUAUACCCUCCCCCAUUUUGUCCCUUCUCUUCCACUACUUUUCCCUCCCAACCUUAUGUUUUCAUUUUGUUUGUUUUUGACACAGGGUCUUACUAUGUAGUCUUGGAACUUAUAGUGAUACACCUGCCUCUGCCUCCUGUGUUCUGGGAUUAAAAGCCUCGGCCACCAUACUUGGCCUGUGUGCUCUUUUUAAAAAGAUUUAUUUAUUUGAUUUUAUUUUAUGUGUCUCUCUGUGUGCCCGAGUGUGUGUAUGUACACUACUUGUAUACAGUUGCCCUCAGAGGCUGAAAGAGAGCAUUAGCAUCCUGGAACUGGAGUUAAUAGGUGCUUGGGACUAAACUUGCAUCCUUUGGAAGAGCAGCAAUUGCUCUUAACUACUGAGCCAUUUCUACAGCCCCAUGGACUCUUUAAAAAAAAAAUCACUGAGUCCAGUUAGUGCUGCCAGUAUGUACAUGGAUGUAGGCUGUCUACUGCAGCAUAGGUACAUGGAUGUAGGCUGUCUGUCUACUGCAGCAUAGGUACAUGGAUGUAGGCUGUCUGUCUACUGCAGCAUAGGUACAUGGAUGUAGGCUGUCUACUGCAGCAUAGGUACAUGGAUGUAGGCUGUCUGUCUACUGCAGCAUAGGUACAUGGAUGUAGGCUGUCUACUGCGGCAUGGGUAGCAUUGCCAGAGCCAUAUCCCUGAAGAAACCAGCUGUCCCUCUCCCAGCAGCUUUCCGUGGCCAGAAGUUCCUUAUUUAGGAAGGAGCUUUGUUUGUCCCUCCCCCACACACACUAGCAUCUUGGUUGGCUUAAUAUUGGGCAAAUCUUGUGCAUACAGUCAAAGCUGCUGAGUUCAUGUGUGCAAUGGCUGUCAUUUCAGGAAAAGUCUGACUGAGUCAUUCACUACCUCUGGCUCACACAACACCCUCCCUUCCUAAAGAUCCUUGAGCCUUGUAGGAAGACAUCAACUCUUUCUCUUUCUUUAAAAAAU